GGCCCACAGGGCGCGGGUGCGGGCGCGGCCGCGGGCCUCGCUGAGGAGGAGGGCCCGUUCGAGUCCGGCGCGGGCCUC
rnacentral:tRNA from 1 species